rnacentral:lncRNA from 1 species
GUUUUUACAAAAUAUUAAUGUAACGGAUCACCUGGCACCCCGACUGGGUACCUCCGUUGAAGGAUGCUCCUAGCGCUUCCUGAGGACUCCAAGCACUGCAGCAGACACCACAACCACCGAACUGGAGAAGCGUAUACCUUCUCUCAAGCAUAUGAAUGCUGUAGACAGUUGAAUAGGAACCAUACGAAUAAGUUUACUCUCCUAGCAGUCAAACUGGAACAGCAUACAAUAAAUCCUUCCCCAAAUAAUGAGACGACACUUCACUUUGAGGGUUAAAAC